AUACGGAGGGUGCAAACGUUAAUCGGAAUUACUGGGCGUAAAGCGCGCGUAGGUGGAUUAGUAAGUCGGAUGUGAAAGCCCUGGGCUCAACCUGGGAAUUGCAUUCGAUACUGCUUGACUAGAGUAUGGUAGAGGGAAGUGGAAUUUCCGGUGUAGCGGUGAAAUGCGUAGAUAUCGGAAGGAACACCAGGGGCGAAGGCGACUUCCUGGGCCAAUACUGACGCUGAGGUGCGAAAGCGUGGGGAGCAAACAGGAUUAGAUACCCCGGUAGUCC
rnacentral:rRNA from 1 species